rnacentral:rRNA from 1 species
AUUGAACGCUGGCGGCAGGCUUAACACAUGCAAGUCGAGCGGGGUGAUGGUGCUUGCACUAUCACUUAGCGGCGGACGGGUGAGUAAUGCUUAGGAAUCUGCCUAUUAGUGGGGGACAACAUCUCGAAAGGGAUGCUAAUACCGCAUACGUCCUACGGGAGAAAGCAGGGGAUCACUUGUGACCUUGCGCUAAUAGAUGAGCCUAAGUCGGAUUAGGUAGUUGGUGGGAUAAAAGCUUACCAAGCCGACGAUCUGUAGCUGGUCUGAGAGGACGACGAGCCACACAAGGACUGAGACACGGCCAAGACUCCUGCGGGAGGCAGCAGUUGGGAAUUUUGGACAAUGGGCGCAACCCUGAUCCAGCCAUGCCGCGUGUGUGAAGAAGGCCUUAUGGUUGUAAAGCACUUUAAGCGAGGAGGAGGCUCUUUUGGUUAAUACCCAAGAUGAGUGGACGUUACUCGCAGAAUAAGCACCGGCUAACUCUGUGCCAGCCGCCGCCGUAA